rnacentral:tRNA from 1 species
GCGAGAGUGGCGGAACUGGUAGACGCACUGGACUUAGGAUCCAGCGAGGGUGACCUUGUGGGGGUUCAACUCCCCCCUCUCGCACCA